UUGGAGGGCAAGUCUGGUGCCAGCAGCCGCGGUAAUUCCAGCUCCAAUAGCGUAUAUUAAAGUUGUUGCAGUUAAAAAGCUCGUAGUUGAAUUUCGGGGUCAGUAGGUUGGUCAUGCCACUGGUAUGUACUGGUCUCACUGAUUCCUCCUUCCUGAUGAACUGUAAUGCCAUUAAUUUGGUGUAGCAGGGAAUCUGGACUGUUACUUUGAAAAAAUUAGAGUGUUUAAAGCAGGCUAACGCCUGAAUACAUUAGCAUGGAAUAAUGAAAUAGGACGUUCGAUCCUAUUUUGUUGGUUUCUAGGAUUGACGUAAUGAUUAAUAGGGAUAGUUGGGGGCAUUAGUAUUCAAUUGUCAGAGGUGGAAUUCUUGGAUUUAUUGAAGACUAACUACUGCGAAAGCAUUUGCCAAGGAUGUUUUCAUUAAUCAAGAACGAAAGUUAGGGGAUCGAAGACGAACAGAUACCGUCGUAGUCUUAACCAUAAACUAUGCCGACUAGGGAUCGGAUGAUGUUAAUUUUUUAAUGACUCAUUCGGCGCCUUACGGGAAAC
rnacentral:rRNA from 1 species